GCUGAAAAAAGUGGCCAAAAAUGGAUGAAAAGUUAAGACUUUUUAUCCAUUUUUGGCCACUUUUUUCGGCUUUGAAAAAGUGGCCAAAAAUGGCGAAAAAGUAAGGCUAUAGCCUUAAUUUUAGCGUCCGAGAGGAGAAAGGGUUAAUAAAAAGAAUGGAAUAAAAAAGAAGUUAAAGCAAGUGCAGGUGAGACGGUCUAGUGGUAAGGAUAAAGUGUUGCAAGUGGCUGAUGCCAGAUUCGAGUCGCGGUUGUCCCAUGAGCAUUUUAGCGUCGGGUGUCGUUGUUAAUUAAUUCCACGCGAGAGGAGAAAGGGUUAAGUGGAAUAAAAAAGAAGUUAAAGCAAGUGCAGGCGAGACGGUGUAGUGGUAAGGACCAAAGUGUUGCAAGUGGCUGGUGCCAGGUUCGAGUCGCUGUUGUGCCAAGUGAAUUUUAGCAUUGGGCGUCGUUGUUAAUUAAUUCCACCCGAGAGGAGAAAGGGUUAAGUGGAAUAAGAAAGAAGUUAAAGCAACUGCAGGCGAGACGGUCUAGUGGUAAGGACCAAAGUGUUGCAAGUGGUUGGUGCCAGGUUCGAGUCGCGGUUGUGCCAAGAGUAAUUUAGCGUUGGGCGUCGUUGUUAAUUAAUUCCAACCGGGAGGAGAAAGGGUUAAGUGGAAUAAGAAAGAAGUUAAAGCAAGUGCAGGCGAGACGGUGUAG